CAAGAACAAACCAGUCGGGUGGGUGGGAUUACAGACGGCAAACCGCAAUGCUUGGUCUGAGGUAUGGCGUCAUAGUUUGCUGAUAUUACGUUUUCCUUGGCCGUUGGAAACAAAAAAAAAUACUUACAAACGGUAGCAACACUACAAAACAUUUACAUUCUUAAAAUGGAACCUUUAUCAUGGUCAUCUGGAGAUAUCAGAGUGUUAUUGAGCAUCUGGGCUGACUCCAAAAUCUGGUGGCAAUUGGAUUAUCGACUAAAAACGAAAAGGCAUUUUGAAAACAAUGAAGGAAGAAAUGAAGGAAGUUAAAACGGAAUAUUAAAAAUAUCUAAGAACACACUAACAAAAGCGGCUCAGGAAUCAGCCAAUAUUUCGAGACAAUGCUGUGCUGGGACGCAAACCUCUGACUUUGAAUUGUGGGACUGUGGACUCGGCAUCACCGACACCGUAGAUAUAUUGAAAGCGAUGGCGACUCCAAUCACCACCGAUGAUCAGAAGGACUGGCUGACUGAAAGAGGUAGAAGACUCACUUCCUCAUUGCUCCAUCCUACUGCAGACUGGCUGACUGAAAGGGAUAGAGGACUCACUUCAGACCCAAGGACCAGUGAAUGAAGAGAGGAUGUCAUCAACCUUCUUUUCAAAGUGGUUACAAACUCUUCUGCAGAGAGAAGAUGGAUGAGGAGGGUUGAGGAGUGAGAAACAUGUAGCAACAUUUCUUAGGUUUAGAGAAGAAACCUUGAACUUUGGACAGAAUGUAUCUUUAGCAGAGGAAGAGAAUGUAGCAAGCGGGGAGUGAACCCAAAAUUGAGAAAAUAAGUUUGCAAAGUUUGCAUGGGGAUGCAUAUGGGUUAAUGAGGUUGUGGCACCUCUGUAAAUUAUUCUUUGGUCAUGUGUCUUAUGAACAAUGAAAUAUAAAUAAUUACAGUAUUAAUGUUAUAUAAGGGAUUUACAAAUAUUAUCUUUUAGCGUCUGUGCGUGCUUUGAGUGUGUACAUAGUCAAAGGCUUUUCAUAAUUUGUUUCAGUCAUAGUGGACAGGUAUACUGCUACUGUGUACUGGGUGCAAUCAGAGAUGGUAAAGAAAACAAGAUUUCUGACUUUGGUCCAUGUUUUGGUCUGUCAGGUGCCCCUGAUAUGAGCUCAUAUUUUCAGUCGGAGAGGGGAAACCAGACCAGAUACCCCUAUCGCUUGCCCUGCUCUGACCAGACCAGUGAGAGGUUUUGCUCUGGGCAGCCUUCUGUAGGGUAGAGGCAAAUGCCCAAAUCAAACAAUAAUGAAACUGGGCCUCUUAUUGUGAUGUCUUUUUAAAUUUUUUAUCUCUGGUAGUAUUCAAAUUUGAUGUAAUUUUGAUGUACUGAAAAUAAUUACACAGCGUUAUCAUGGAAACCACCAAAGUGGG
ensembl:lncRNA